UACGUAGGGUGCGAGCGUUAAUCGGAAUUACUGGGCGUAAAGCGUGCGCAGGCGGUUGUGCAAGACAGAUGUGAAAUCCCCGGGCUCAACCUGGGAACUGCAUUUGUGACUGCACGGCUGGAGUGCGGCAGAGGGGGAUGGAAUUCCGCGUGUAGCAGUGAAAUGCGUAGAUAUGCGGAGGAACACCGAUGGCGAAGGCAAUCCCCUGGGCCUGCACUGACGCUCAUGCACGAAAGCGUGGGGAGCAAAC
rnacentral:rRNA from 1 species